UACGUAGGGGGCGAGCGUUGUCCGAAUUCACUGGGCGUAAAGCGCGCGUAGGCGGGUUAUUAAGUUGAUGGUGAAAUCCCAGGGCUCAACCCUGGAACUGCCUUCAAAACUGGUAGCCUUGAGGUAUGAAGGGGGAAGUGGAAUUCCAGGUGUAGCGGUGAAAUGCGUAGAUAUCUGGAGGAACACCUGUGGCGAAGGCGGCUUCCUGGUCAUAUCCUGACGCUGAGGUGCGAAAGCCAGGGGAGCGAAC
rnacentral:rRNA from 1 species